rnacentral:rRNA from 1 species
GACGAACGCUGGCGGCGUGCUUAACACAUGCAAGUCGAACGAGGUCCACUGCGUAGCAAUACAAGGGAAGACCUAGUGGCGAACGGGUGCGUAACACGUGAGGAACUUGUCCCGGUCUCUGGGAUAACAGUUGGAAACGACUGCUAAUACCGGAUGACGUCGGAAUCUCGCAUGGGAUACUGACGAAAGGGUUACUGGAUCGGGAGAGCCUCGCGGCCUAUCAGCUUGUUGGUGAGGUAACGGCUCACCAAGGCAUCGACGGGUAGCUGGUCUGAGAGGAUGAUCAGCCACACUGGGACUGAGACACGGCCCAGACUCCUACGGGAGGCAGCAGUGGGGAAUCUUGCGCAAUGGGCGAAAGCCUGACGCAGCAACGCCGCGUGCGGGAAGAAGGCCCUCGGGUUGUAAACCGCUUUCAGUAGGAACGAAAAUGACGGUACCUGCAGAAGAAGGUGCGGCCAACUACGUGCCAGCAGCCGCGGU